rnacentral:lncRNA from 1 species
UACAUAUAUGUGGAGUUGAGCUAGACUACCCUCAAAAGCACCAUGAAGGUAGUGUUUUUGAGUUUUUAGUCAUUGGAUGGAGAGAUGUGAAGUUGAGAUGAUGGUGGUAGGUGGUGGUAGGUGGAAUAGUAUUUAAUCCAAAGACUAUUAGUAAUCAAGUAGUAGAUCCAAUGGCUAAAAACUUAGAAGUAUCAAGGGAU